GACGAACGCUGGCGGCGGGCUUAACACAUGCAAGUCGAACGGAAAGGGCCUGCUUUUGUGGGGUGCUCGAGUGGCGAACGGGUGAGUAACACGUGAGUAACCUGCCCUUGACGUUGGGAUAACUUCAGGAAACUGGGGCUAAUACCGGAUAGGAGCUCCUGCAGCAUGGGGGGGGUUGGAAAGUUUCGGCGGUUGGGGAUGGACGCGCGGCUUAUCAGCUUGUUGGUGGGGUAGUGGCUUACCAAGGCUUUGACGGGUAGCCGGCCUGAGAGGGUGACCGGCCACAUUGGGACUGAGAUACGGCCCAGACUCCUACGGGAGGCAGCAGUGGGGAAUAUUGCACAAUGGGCGGAAGCCUGAUGCAGCAACGCCGCGUGCGGGAUGACGGCCUUCGGGUUGUAAACCGCUUUCGCCUGUGACGAAGCGUGAGUGACGGUAAUGGGUAAAGAAGCACCGGCUAACUACGUG
rnacentral:rRNA from 1 species